rnacentral:tRNA from 1 species
AGGGUGUAGCUUAGAGGUAAAAACAUAUGUUUAGCAUGCAUACAGUCCUGGGUUCAAUACCCAGUCCUCCUA